rnacentral:lncRNA from 1 species
GCCUACCUGACGACUGUCAAGAAGAGGAAGAAGGAUACACCUUCUGAAGGUACAUCUGAUAUGUUCAUUAUUGAAACUAAUCUUAUGAUUUCUUCUUCUUUUAGUUGGGUUCUAGAUUUUAGUUCAAGUGCUCAUUUGUUUGCUUCCAUACAGGGUCUUGAAGAAGUGAGAGGACUGAGGAAAGGCGAGAUCACUCUUCAGGUCGAUAAUGGA